ensembl:lncRNA
AACACAUGAAAUUCAGCUGUUAAAUGCACCUUGCUGCAGUAUGGUAUUUUGAUGAGAAUGUAUGUCCGUUCUUAUUUCCACGUUUGUUCCCAACCUUGUAAAGAAAGCAUCCAGUAGAUGCUGCAAACCUACGAAUGAAGCAGUGAUGGAGGAACAUUAUCUAUCUAUAACAGGGUUAAUUUAAACCCUGAUGCAGAAAAAUAGUACUUGCUUCUACAUAUUAUCAUAACUUCAGCAUAUCUGUUCUGUGAACUGCUACUGUAGAGUAGAGCUGUACAGAUAGUCUAUAAACAUGGAUGCUAUCAGCAGGUACUCUGAAUUUAACAUUGGACGGAGAAGCUCCAAUCAUUCUCAAAGCCCAGGGCUUCUCUAUUUCCUGAAUGUUUAUCUCUGUUUUCUUGAUAUGAUCAUACAAUAUCUGUAUACAUUAAUUUUCUAAAAGUGGAUGAACUGUAUCAAUAAAUGAAAAGAACAUUCCCUUUUUCAGUGAAUUUUGCAUCCUGAUUUUAUCUCUGUACAUUUGCAUGACCUGGAAUUUGAGCUAAUUGAGAGAGCUGGGCCCCACCAAAGAAAUGAGUUCUUGACUUGGAGAGCAGUGGAGAGGAGAAACAUGAUUCAAAGAGGUGGAUAGCAGAAGACUAUGAAUGCUAUGAACACUUUCUUCAGUAUGAAAUUUCAGUCACUACUGGUAAUGUGGGGUGUUAACUGGACUGAAAACCUGCAGUCAUAUUCAUGUUUGACAAUUGCCAUUAUGAAAAACUAUCAUUAAUUUUGUUUCUUAUUUCAAGAUACCUCCAUGGAGAACCAAAAGACAGAAAGUAUAUGGAGGAAGAGAUCUACAUCUCACCCUCAGAAAUCUGUUAUAUGUGAACUAGUAUGCUGGGAGUGUACAGAGCUCUGGAACUUUUCUAGCUAAGCAUGUAUCUUACCUAGGAAAUCAAUUUCCAUUACUCUCAUCCUAGCUCCUUUUCCAAGCUUUAUACAUACUUUCAAACAGAGAAAGAAUUCCAUCUGAAAGUGUACAGAGCAAAGUAAAUCAAGACAUAGACUCAUCUUGACAAUCUCCUGUUAGC